rnacentral:rRNA from 1 species
AUUGAACGCUGGCGGCAGGCCUAACACAUGCAAGUCGAGCGGAUGAAGGGAGCUUGCUCCUGGAUUCCGCGGCGGACGGGUGAGUAAUGCCUAGGAAUCUGCCUGGUAGUGGGGGAUAACGUCCGGAAACGGGCGCUAAUACCGCAUACGUCCUGAGGGAGAAAGUGGGGGAUCUUCGGACCUCACGCUCUCAGAUGAGCCUAGGUCGGAUUAGCUAGUUGGUGGGGUAAAGGCCUACCAAGGCGACGAUCCGUAACUGGUCUGAGAGGAUGAUCAGUCACACUGGAACUGAGCCACGGUCCAGGCGCCUACGGGAGGCAGCAGUGGGGAAUGGUAGACAGUGGGCGAAAGCCUGGUCCAGCCAUGCCGCGUGUGUGAAGAAGGUCUUCGGAUUGUAAAGCACUUUUAGUUGUGAGGAAGGGCAGUAAGUUAAUACCUUGCUGUUUUGACGUUACCAACAGAAUAAGCACCGGCUAACUUCGUG